GUUUGCAGUGCUGUCAUAUUAUAAGACUGCUGCCUCAAUUCCCCGUUCUGCCAAUGGGUGGACAUCGAUUAUCGGUGAUUCAUCAAAAACCAGUAUCAUAAAUGAAUAAUUCAGCAUCAUUUGUGGUCUGACAGACGCCAGUAAAAACAAGAAAAACAAAAGAUCCCUUGCGGCUGAUUUGUAGAACAGCAAGAAUAUACCUAUCAGGUCUGAAGCAUAGGAUGGACGGAGCUUCAAGAGAUUAGGUGCUACAAAACCAAAAUGAAAAAGCUUUCUAAAACACAAAAUUCUGGAAAGUACCGGCAUCACUGCUAAGGGGACCGCUGAAGCUGAAUUAUGUCACAGAGGGGGGCAUCAUGAGGUCACCAAGAGAUAACAUGGGGGUGAGGUGAAAGUAACACAAGGGCAAGACUACAUGCAUGCUUUAGUCCAGAUUGUAAUGUGGGCCAUACAUCUAAGGCCUAAUUCCGUUUGCAGAUGGGAUCCAACGAUGACCACCGAUGCCCCUGGGAAUCCGUAAAAUACUGCACAAUUAAAAUAUCCAACUUGCUGA